UUAUUUUAGAUCCAAAAUCUUGGACACAAAAAUGCACACUAAUCAGUGAACACAUGAAUGACAGGUUGCACACUGUUGGAUUGUACACACCACACACCCACUCCGCAAAGUCAGAAGGAGGCCCUUCUGCUGCUGGAUCGCCUCAGGACAACCACCUGGCAUGGCUACCUUCAUGUGUCACUUUGGCCCGGCCGUGAGAUUCGCAGAUAUGUGAUCAGACCUUCUGAGGUUUGUCUGAGGCUGCUUCUAGAUGAGGUUAGCAUGUGAUUCGUGGACUGAAUAAAGCAGAAUGCCUUCCCGGGUGGUGGCAGAGUUGAAGGCCUAGAAAGAAUACAGAGGCUUAGGAGAAAUCUCUCCCUCCCUCCCUCCCUGCCUCUGUUUCUGGGAGGAGACAUCAGUCAGUCUUCUACUUCCUAUAGACUCAGUCUGCAUCUUACACCAUGGAUUUUUCUGGUUCUCAGGUACAGAUUCAGACUGGGACUAUAUCAUUGUCUCUCCUCACUUAGACUUUGUAUCUGCAUGAGCUUAUAUUAAUAUGUGUCUCUAUUUCUCUGGAGAAUGCUAACUAAUACAGAAACACAGGACAUCAUCCUACCUCCUACUCUCAGCACUAUAUCCAGAGCUGCCAGGAGAUGAUUUCUGGCUGAUGACUACAUCCCUGUCCUUGUUCCAGUCACAAUUAAAGUGUGUUUGUCACUUUCACAUUGCUGAGUCACACUACCUCACACUGCAGCUUAAAGGAGGAGAGGUCUGUUUUUGCUGAUGCGUACUUCAGAAGUUUCAGUCCAUGGCCAGAGGGCUCAAACACAGAAAGGCACUAUGGAAGGCCUGCUGUGAAAGAGAGCUGCUCUUGUCAUGGCGGCCAGGAUGCACAGCAGAGAGGAGCAGGGUCGUGGAGCAGAGUCGUGAACACAACUGUCCAGGUGGUGUCUCCAGGGAAGAGCUCACACCUCCGCCCGAGACCCCUCCUCACCCCAAGGCAGCUCACACACAGGAGGCUUUGAGGGCCAUGUUCCGGACCCUAACAAACAGCUGUACUCCCUGGGAUUUCUAUCAGUAAUGCAGGAAGACUUGGAGCAGGUUUUUAGAAGUAAAAGUUGUUAUUUAAACUCUUCCACAAUUUAUAAUUAAAUGCAUGGCAGUGAAUGGUGAUGCAGUACAUUUAACAGAUGUGGCAAGUUACAGUGGCAAUGCUGAGGAAAAGACUUGUAAUUCCAUCCCUGGGUUUGGACCUCAGAAGAUUGGCUAAUUCUUCAGUCUCCAAUUCCCAUGGACAUGGGACAUGUCUGGGACAUGCAUGAUCUAAUAAAGGAACCAAUGACCAUGGGGCUGUCUCUCCAACAUCCCAAUAUUAAAAAUAAAGAGGUCCCUCCAAAGAAUGUGGGGAGACAUCAAAGAGGAGAGGCCAUGAGCGUCCCCAGAACAUACCCUUGAGCAGCAGCUCUCAGAUUGCAGAAAAACAGGGCUUUGCUUGGGCCCCUUUCACCAGUUUGCAUCCACCUUGCCCCAUGCAGGAGCCUUUCUGCUGCCAACUGUCCAACAUCCCCGCUGGUGCUAUGCUGCACACCAAGCCUAUUGCAACAGGGUGGCGCCAUGUCGCCAACCAGCACCUGCUCUUCCCUUUUGCCUUGUGUCCCAAAGAUCCAGAGAGAAGUCCUCACACUCUGAUGCAUGUAGUCUACAACUCCGAUGGCCUCGUGGUGCUCCUGCAGGGGAGGCUCCCCUGCGUAUCAAGCCCUGAGCCCAUGUCAGACCCCACAAUCACAUAACACAUAUCUCCAGCGUCAGGCCCUGUCCCACAUGCCAGACGAGCAGGUAAUGAGACAGAGGCAGACCACAGAGAUCAGCAGAGCAGAUCAUUUCUAGGCAGUGUCACAGGUGCUGGGAGGAAUGUGAUGCUGAAGGCUUCAAACAGAGUCCCUAACUCAGGCCUGCAGUUCAGAGAGGGUUUUCUGGAGUCAAACUUGAACUGAGUGUGAAAGAAGUUGGAAAUGUAAGUGAGACACGAGGAAGGCUUCCUUACCUCUCAUAUAGUACCAUCUUUAACUUCUAACAUGCUUUCCCAAAGACGGCCCAAUGAUACAAAUGCAGGCUCCAAAGCCACAGGGUACAGUGUCCUCACCACUGGAGUCUUCCCAGGUCAUGACCACCCCAUGACACAGCGCAGGGAGUCACCUACUUGACGAACUGGCCUCUCCACCUCUCCACCCAUGCAACGCUCUCUCUGCAGCACCCUGCAAGGGCAGUGUGUCCCCGGUGCGCCAAGUGAUGAAGCCUACAGAGGACUUCUCUGUCGGCGGUGGAGGCAGACACACUGAGCGAAGAGCUAGCUACCCAAACAGUUCUAGAAAGACGAGCACAACGAUGUUGCAUCCCGAUUGUGAAGGUUUCUCUCCAAUAUUUCGUGAAUAGUCACGGCACCCAAUUUAGAUUAUCAGUUCCACAGCCUCUCCUGCACAGGAAGACAAAGGACUUCAGUUUCAAAAUUUAUAAAUAUUGAAAGUGGGAUCUUCUCAUU
rnacentral:lncRNA from 1 species